rnacentral:pre_miRNA from 1 species
UAAUUACUCCCUCCGUCCCAAAUUUCUUGUCUUAAAUUUGUCUAGAUACAAAUGUAUCUAGUUACGUUUUAGUAUUAGAUACAUUCGUAUCUAGACAAAUCUAAGACAAGAAUUUUGAGACGGAGGGAGUAUAUU